UAACACGUAUGGGGCGAGCGUUGUUCGGAAUCAUUGGGCGUAAAGGGCGCGCAGGCGGUUAUAUAAGCCUGGUGUGAAAUACUGCAGCUCAACUGCAGAACCGCACUGGGAACUGUAUGACUGGAGUUCAAGAGGGGAAGCUGGAAUUCCUGGUGUAGGGGUGAAAUCUGUAGAUAUCAGGAAGAACAUCAGUGGCGAAGGCGAGCUUCUGGCUAUGAACUGACGCUGAGGCGCGAAAGCGUGGGGAGCAAACAGGAUUAGAUACCCUGGUAGUCCACGCUGUAAACGAUGUGCACUAGGUGUUGGGCCGAUGAAGGCUCAGUGCCGUAGCUAACGCGUUAAGUGCACCGCCUGGGGAGUAUGCUCGCAAGGGUG
rnacentral:rRNA from 1 species